AAUUCUUGGUGUUAAACGCUUUGGUAUGUUGUCACUCUUUAUCCCACUUUCAUAGAUGUAGAGGAGGAACUUUGGCACAGAUCCGGGAUAUUGACGGUACCAGUGGAGAUUAUCAGGUACUCCACUGUAGUUACAUCAAUUGUGUCAGACAGGAGUGGAUCUGUUGAACGCAUCAAGGCCAGAGCUCAUGGGACACAUUUACUACAGACUCUUUCAGGCUGGGAAAACCCGGAAAUGCUGGCUCUGGAUCCGCCGCUCCAAAAUAUACACUCUGUUCAGUGCAAUGGGCUUUGCUUGUUUCCUUGCAGCAAUCUUUGUGACUAUCUACCGUGAGAGCAUUUUUACUCUUGUGAUCCUUGAGAAGAACUAACAUCAACUGAACCUGAGGUGCAUUAUUACUAUGAACUGUGUAGGCAUCCUGAAACUGUGGUUUCUAUGAGAUUGCUUUAUUAUGUGACAUACAUAAAAAGGAGCAUCACUUGAAUAUGCUGUUUGCUAAGACAGAAAAAUGUUUAUUUGGCUGACACAGGUUAUGGAGAACUGCAUGUUUAACAGACCGAAAUGUGUUUAAUCAUGUAUAAGUGAUGCAUAAUUGUUCAGGAAGGCUGAAAGUCAAAAACUUUCAAGUCAAAAAAGUCAGGUGUUCUGAAUUAUUACGCAUGUUUUGUUUUUCCAGAUAAAAUGAGACAAGAAAGAGACUGAACUCAGAUUAAAUGCAAUGCUAAUGCAAUAUUAGAAUUAGCAAUGGUAAGGAAUGACCAUUGGCCAGCAGUGUCAGAAAAAACAGGUGGAGAAGAAAAGACACGUUAACUGCAAAAGAAUUAGGAAUUAAUGUCAAGAAUUAGGUGAUAAACCAUCAAGAUCCAUUUAGUCUCCAGUGCUAUCAUUUUCCAGAACUGCAACCUUCCUGGAUUCUCCACAAGAGCGAUGUUUCAGGUUCUCAGAGUCUUUUCUUGGGUGCAAAAUCCUAAAAAAAAGGCCCUCACUUAAUAAGAAUAAUACACUGAAAUGUUGUGAAAUCCAUUCACACUGAUUUUUCAUAGGUUUUAAGGUCAGAGAUGUUGUGAGUGGCUCUUGAAGGAACAGCAACACUCUAGAAUCAAUAUGUCAGUAAAUUAUUUGUCUAUCUCCUAUCCUGAAAUUUCUCUCUUGCACUAUUAUGGUGAACUCAUGUUAAUUUUCACGCCGUGAGACCUUAAAUUAAACUAUGGCCAUUCUUUUAAAAGUAUGCUUUUGUGGUUGGCCUGGUUUAGCCUGUCAGCAGUUGCUAUCACUUUGCAUCAGUUGUAGAUUUUAAACUAUUUUUAUAUAUAUUAUUUAUGAUUUCUACCCUUCAAAAUAUUUACCCUAUGUCCAUUAAUUUAACACUUGUAAGAAUUGUCAAAGUUAUUAAAUGGAUGCGUUCUGUCUUGCAUGCCCAACCUACAGCAAGCUAAUGUUCCAGCGCUUCUGAUUUUAUGUUUCAUUAAUGUAUCAUUCUGAGAAAUUACUGCAAGAUUUAACUAUGUACAUGUUCUGCAUUUCAACACUUGUAUAUGCACAGUACAAUUGCUGCUUUAUUAAAUCUAUUAAUCUCCUGGUUUUGACUACUGUAUCAGUUGCAGGUGUUGCCACAUAAAGUAAUGGUUUACGGCUGAUAUUGCAUUUUGGUUUUGGCUAA